rnacentral:rRNA from 1 species
GAUUAACGCUGGCGGCGUGCAUAACACAUGCAAGUCGAACGAUGAAACUUAACUGAUUUCUUCGGAAUGAUUUUAAGUGGAUUAGUGGCGGACGGGUGAGUAACGCGUGAGUAACCUGCCUUGGCGAAGGGGAUAGCCUUUGGAAACGAAGAAUAAUACCCUAUGAUAUGAUAAUAUCUCAUGAUAUUAUCAUCAAAGAUUUAUCGCUCUAAGAUGGACUUGCGUCUGAUUAGUUAGUUGGUGAGGUAACAGCUCACCAAGGCAGCGAUCAGUAGCCGGCUUGAGAGAGUGUACGGCCACAUUGGGACUGAGACACGGCCCAGACUCCUACGGGAGGCAGCAGUGGGGAAUUUUGCACAAUGGGGGAAACCCUGAUGCAGCGACGCCGCGUGAUUUAGAAGGCCUUCGGGUUGUAAAAAUCUUUUGUAUGGGAAGAAAAUGACAGUACCAUACGAAUAAGGACCGGCUAAUUACGUG